UGUAUUAAGGCUGCCUGCAGUUAUCUGGGUCUUUGAAUUGUAAUAUCUGACAGGUUAGAUUCCCUCGUUCAUGCUUGGAUUGAACAUAUGUCGUGUCUUCUUUGUAAAAUAGGAUCUCUGAUCAUGCAGUUGAAGCCCUCAAGCCUUAGCGGUUGGUCCUUUCAGUAAGGUAGUGAGUAAGAGCAGUUUCUAUUCAUUACGGGCAGUUUCUUCAUCCACUUUUCAUCAAGUGUUGCAUUAUUUUCCCAAUUCCUGCGAGUGAGAGAGCCAUUUUGCGUUUGAGCCUUUCUCACUGUGUUAUUGAUUCUGCAUUUGAGCCUUCUCACUGUGAUAUGUACAUAACUCUGAAGAAUCUGGGAAUUGAUGGAGAAGGGCGUAGUAUUAAAACAAACUG